UACGUAGGGUGCAAGCGUUGUCCGGAAUUAUUGGGCGUAAAGAGCUCGUAGGCGGUCUGUCGCGUCGGCUGUGAAAACCCGGAGCUCAACUCCGGGCCUGCAGUCGAUACGGGCAAACUGGAGUGUUGCAGGGGAGACUGGAAUUCCUGGUGUAGCGGUGAAAUGCGCAGAUAUCAGGAGGAACACCGGUGGCGAAGGCGGGUCUCUGGGCAACAACUGACGCUGAGGAGCGAAAGCCAGGGGAGCAAACAGG
rnacentral:rRNA from 1 species